rnacentral:rRNA from 1 species
CAGGAUGAACGCUAGCUACAGGCUUAACACAUGCAAGUCGAGGGGAAACGACAUCGAAAGCUUGCUUUUGAUGGGCGUCGACCGGCGCACGGGUGAGUAACGCGUAUCCAACCUGCCCACCACUUGGGGAUAACCUUGCGAAAGUAAGACUAAUACCCAAUGACGUCUCUAGAAGACAUCUGAAAGAGAUUAAAGAUUUAUCGGUGAUGGAUGGGGAUGCGUCUGAUUAGCUUGUUGGCGGGGUAACGGCCCACCAAGGCAACGAUCAGUAGGGGUUCUGAGAGGAAGGUCCCCCACAUUGGAACUGAGACACGGUCCAAACUCCUACGGGAGGCAGCAGUGAGGAAUAUUGGUCAAUGGACGAGAGUCUGAACCAGCCAAGUAGCGUGCAGGAAGACGGCCCUAUGGGUUGUAAACUGCUUUUAUAAGGGAAUAAAGUGAGUCUCGUGAGACUUUUUGCAUGUACCUUAUGAAUAAGGACCGGCUAAUUCCGUGCCAGCAGCCGCGGUAAUACGGAAGGUCCGGGCGUUAUCCGGAUUUAUUGGGUUUAAAGGGAGCGUAGGCCGGAGAUUAAGCGUGUUGUGAAAUGUAGAUGCUCAACAUCUGAACUGCAGCGCGAACUGGUUUCCUUGAGUACGCACAAAGUGGGCGGAAUUCGUGGUGUAGCGGUGAAAUGCUUAGAUAUCACGAAGAACUCCGAUUGCGAAGGCAGCUCACUGGAGCGCAACUGACGCUGAAGCUCGAAAGUGCGGGUAUCGAACAGGAUUAGAUACCCUGGUAGUCCGCACGGUAAACGAUAGAUGCCCGCUGUUGUCUGAAUAGGUCAGCGGCCAAGCGAAAGCAUAA